UUAGGAAUCUUCCGCAAUGGGCGAAAGCCUGACGGAGCGACACCGCGUGAAGGAUGAAGCCCUUUUUGGGUGUAAACUUCUGUUCUGAGGGACGAAAUUUUUGACGGUACCUCAGGAGAAAGCACCGGCUAAUUCUGUGCCAGCAGCCGCGGUAAGACAGAAGGUGCAAGCGUUACUCGGAAUCACUGGGCGUAAAGCGUCUGUAGGUGUCUCUCCACGUCUGGCGUAAAAGCCCGGGGCCUAACCCCGGGUUCGUGCCGGAAACGAGAGAGAUGGAGUCACUCAGAGGCAUCUGGAAUGUCGUGUGUAGGGGUAAAAUCCGUAGAUACACGAUGGAACGCCAAAAGCGAAGGCAGGAUGCUAGGGGUGUACUGACACUCAGAGACGAAAGCGUGGGGAGCAAAGGGG
rnacentral:rRNA from 1 species